UACGUAGGGUGCAAGCGUUAAUCGGAAUUACUGGGCGUAAAGGGCGCGUAGGCGGUUCUUUAAGUCAGGCGUGAAAGCCCUGGGCUCAACCUGGGAGUGGCGCUUGAUACUGGAGGACUAGAGAGUGGGAGAGGUUGGUGGAAUUCCCAGUGUAGAGGUGAAAUUCGUAGAUAUUGGGAAGAACACCGGUGGCGAAGGCGGCCAACUGGACCAUUUCUGACGCUGAGGCGCGAAAGCGUGGGGAGCAAACAGG
rnacentral:rRNA from 1 species